GACGAACGCUGGCGGCGUGCUUAACACAUGCAAGUCGAACGGAAAGGCCCUGCUUUUGUGGGGUGCUCGAGUGGCGAACGGGUGAGUAACACGUGAGUAACCUGCCCUUGACUUUAGGAUAACUUCAGGAAACUGGGGCUAAUACCGGAUAGGAGCUCCUGCUGCAUGGUGGGGGUUGGAAAGUUUCGGCGGUUGGGGAUGGACUCGCGGCUUAUCAGCUUGUUGGUGGGGUAGUGGCUUACCAAGGCUUUGACGGGUAGCCGGCCUGAGAGGGUGACCGGCGACAAUGGGACUGAGAUACGGCCCAGACUGCUACGGGAGGCAGCAGUGGGGAAUAUUGCACAAUGGGCGGAAGCCUGAUGCAGCAACGCCGCGUGCGGGAUGACGGCUUUCGGGUUGUAAACCGCUGUCGCCUGUGACGAAGCGUGAGUGACGGUAAUGGGUAAAGAAGCACCGGCUAACUACGUG
rnacentral:rRNA from 1 species